CAAUAGCGUAUAUUAAAGCUGUUGCGGUUAAAAAGCUCGUAGUUGGAUUUCUGUCAAGGACAACUGGUCCGCCCCUCGGGUGAGCACAUAGUUUGGUCUUAGCAUCUUGUUGGAAACUGUUGCUGCACUUGGUUGUGUGGCGCAGUGUCCAGCACUUUCACUUUGAGGAAAUUGGAGUGUUUCAAGCAGGCACAUGCCUUUGGACACAGUAGCAUGGAAUAAUUAGAUUGGGCUUUUGCUCCAACUUGUCGGUUUCUGGAGCUGAGGUGAGAAUUAAUGGGGAUUGUUGGGGGCAUCCGAAUUUAGCCGUCAGAGGUGAAAUUCUUGGAUCUGCUAAAGACGGACAACUGCGAAAGCGUUUGCCCAGGAUGUUUUCAUUGA
rnacentral:rRNA from 1 species